rnacentral:rRNA from 1 species
CCUACGGGUGGCAGCAGUGGGGAAUAUUGCGCAAUGGGCGAAAGCCUGACGCAGCGACGCCGCGUGAGGGAUGACGGUCUUCGGAUUGUAAACCUCUGUCAGCAGGGAAGCACGGUCACUGUGCUAAUCAGCAGUGAAUAGACGCUACCUGCAAAGCAUGCACCGGCUCACUCCGUGCAAGCAGCCGCGGUCAUACGGAGGGUGCGUGCGUUAAUCGGAAUUGCUGGGCGUAAAGCGCUCGUAGGCGGGAUGUCAAGUCAAGGGUGAAAUCCGCGCGCUCAACGUGGGAACUGCCGUUGAAACUGGCAAACUGGAGUGUGUGAGAGGAUAGUGGAAUUCCAGGUGUAGGAGUGAAAUCCGUAGAUAUCUGGAGGAACAUCAGUGGCGAAGGCGACUAUCUGGCACAUAACUGACGCUGAGGAACGAAAGCCAGGGUAGCGAAUGGGAUUAGAUACCCCUGUAGUC